CCCCAUGUCUGUCUCUCAGUCCCCCUCGGCGAUACCUCCUCCUUAGCUGGGGGAAUAGAUUAAAUAUUCAUGAGCGUGCAUCCAAUGGCAGCGCUGGUCUGGCGUUUUUCUCCCAGGGCAGGAAAUGGAGGCAGAUUCAUGCAUGGGGGUCCCUGCAGGUUGGCAUACAGGGUCAAUUGAAUGGAUGGUUCAAAGGUUACAAAAUCUGUAUGAUGUCCCUCUUCUAUUCUCGCCUGCCCCUGCUUCUGAAGAGGAAAGAUGACCAGAGAGAACGGCUGCUUCAGAAACGAGAAGGUUAAAAAAAAUGGCUCCUACCGGCUUGACUCUGCACCCAAUUAGAUUCUGUUGUUGUGCGGCACGUAAACACAUCAUAUCCUGACGUGUAAACACACACUCACCCGCCCGUCUCACCAGCUAGUUUAUUUUUAAAGAUGGCGGCCAUUCUGAGAAAGAUGUAUGGUAUUGGCAACAAAUUUCACAACUUUUGUUCGUUUCAAGGAUUCUGGAUGGCCCAGGUGAAUUGAGAGAGCCCCCAUCCAAAAGCUUGCAGAAGCCACCCACUUAAGAAACUACAUUCAAGGCUGUCUCAGUGACCUGAGUGAUUGUUGUUUUAUUCCUGUGUGCUUUUAGAGCAUCUUCAUGCGGUCAAAGCUGAAGAACGGAUUGAUCUGUUUGUAUAAGAUACACGCAAAGCCUGAUGAAAUCGGUCUGGCCACGAUGUGACUUUAAAAGUGUUCCUGUAGCAGCAAAAGGAGGAUGCUGGGAACGGGGGGUCAGAGGUUCAGCCGUCAAAGAGGUUCACUGGUGAUGGAUGGCAGUCUGAGCUGCGCACAGCACAUCUACUGUAGCUUUAACCGCCGAAAAGGCCUGCACACAACACAAAUAAAUAAAUAAACACGCACAUCAAAGGAAUUUUCAAAAAGAAAAACAAAGCCAGAGCACGUUCGCAAACUCACACUUACACACACACACACACACACAUACACACCCGUGCCAGAAAAAAAAAUAGCAGUCAAAGGCCUGAAAAUGCACACAUAGUUAACUGCCUGAUAAUGGAAGGCUUGAGGAAAAUAAGACAAAGCGAAACAGAAUGGCGAGAAGUAUACAGUACUUUAUGUGUAAUUCUGGAUUCAGUUUGAAAUGCUGUGAUGAGAUUUUUGCUGAAACUGAUCGAUGCCAUUCUCUCUUGAAGAAUAGUGGACCUUUUUGCAUCCUCUUCCAAAAAGUGUCUGUCAUUGCUGAGGUCAUGACUCGGGACACAAGAAAUGAAACAGUUGAACCACAAUUGGAAUGCCAUCAUAGCGACUGUUAAAUCUGGUUUAUGGAGUAACAUUCUUUUAAUGCCUUUUUAUAAAUGAUCGCUUCUGCUUUAGAGUAAUAAAAAGUUUAAAAUGAAAAAAUAAUGUCACACUGUCAGAUAUGAAGCAAUUAUUGUCGGAAGAAACUGGAUUCCAUUUUGUGUUUGUUUCAGUGUUUGUAUUGUAAUGUACAGGUAUAUGUUAUGUUUACAUCCAUUUCACUGAUUAUCCCUCAUGAAAUCAUGCUGAAAAAACAUCCAUAGAUCUUGUCUUGGCCUGAUCAUAUGUCACACACAAUUUUAGUGAUAAUGCUUUAGUGAGUAGGACAUUAUGGGAUUACCAUUGUCUCUUAGGAAUAAACUGUGGUUCUGUCAGCUUUCCAGUGAUCUUUCUAAAGCAACUGCAAAGCAUAUGAUUCCCUUAUGGUUUGUAAAUGGUGCUUCUGCAUGUAUUUGUUUUCCUUGACCAGAAUCAAGGCCUGGCUAACAAUCCCAGUGUAAGUUCUAAGCAUAGCAUGUUAAACUAGCAUAGACAGGAAGUUCACAUACAAAACUAGUCGCCCAAAAUGUGUCGAUAUUUUCAGCAGAGAUGUUAGCCGAUAGAUUACAGUCAGGGCUUGACAUUAACUUUUUUUGCUCACCAGCCACUGUGGCUAGUAGUGCUAAGUUACUAGCCACUCAGCAUUUUCACUGGCCACAAUUUUGACAUUGAUACCAUGGGGAUAAACUGACAUAUAGAUAUUUUUAUUAUUAUCUCAUAAUUUUGCAGCAGGUAGGACUGUAUUAGGCUGCUGUCACUUUAAGACUUGACGCACCAUUAUACUGUUACACUUUCUCAACUGACUGUGUUUACGUGAAUACUCGCAAAGACCGGCAUUUUGACAAUAUUUUGAGUGUAUUUGACUGUUUAAAGGGUUAGUUCACCCAAAAAGCCAUCCUAGGUGUAUAGCACUAUCU